UUACGGCCACAUCACGUUGAAACACCGGUUCCCGUACGAUCCCCGAAGUUAAGCGACCUAGAUCCUGGUCAGUACCUAGAUGGGUGACCAUUGGAAAUACCAGGUGU